rnacentral:lncRNA from 1 species
CUUUAGAAGUUAUGCAAGGAAAAGUACAUUGAUGGGAAGAUUUUGUAGUAUUUUAAAGUAGAUAUCCUACUAAGCAGUACAAGUCUCCACAAACUUAGUUCCACUAGAAGUCAUAAAGGCAAUUCAGUAAAUGCUUUCUCACUUUCAUAGUCAUUAUGCUAUUUACUGGCACUUAUCAAGAAUCAGUCUCAUCAUUGUUGAGGAAAAACAAGAGGUUCAUAUGACAUGCUGGAAAAUCUUUUUGACUCUUAACAGUUCUUCCAAUUUCAACAUAAAAAGGCAGAGGAAAAAAGCAGCACCUUGUUACAAUUAGGAAGGAUGGCUCUUCUGUUUUCUCUUUCCAGCGUCAUGCCCAGGCACUCAAAACCUUUAAUCUCACUUUUCCACUGUAUGAUAGACAGCAUUUCAAUGCCAACACUCAGAGAGUUGUCCAGGAAAUAGUUACUUAGCAGGGGGAAAAAUCAGCUAAUUGAUUAUGGAGGCAUAAAAAUUUCUGUUUAGCAAAAAUUCAAUCAGAAAAUGAAAUUAGUAUACUGUGGGAGAAAAAAAUAUGAUACAGCUCUAAUAUGUGUUCUUGACAAUUGGUCUUUUCU